UACGGAGGGGUGCAAGCGUUAUCCGGAUUCACUGGGUUUAAAGGGUGGCGUAGGUGGGUUGGUAAGGUCAGUGGUGAAAUCUCCGGGCUUAACCUGGAAACUGCCAUUGAUUACUAUCAAUCUUGAAUACCUUGGAGGUGAGCGGAAUAUGUCAUGUAGCGGUGAAAUGCUUAGAUAUGACAUAGAACACCAAAUUGCGAAGGCAGCUCACUACACGGUCAU
rnacentral:rRNA from 1 species